rnacentral:lncRNA from 1 species
UUGUGUUGUGUGGUUUGAGAGGAGUUGCGAUGACAAACUGUUGCAGUAGUACAUUGAAGCAAAUAAGUUCAAAGGGGCGUAACUCCUAGAAAAAAAAAUGAAUCGCAAUUUCCCGUCGAUAUGCACAACUACAUAGUAUGUCCUUAAUAUCUGAAAAGGUUUCGUGAAAUUCUGUUGUGUGGUUUGAGAGGAGUUGCGAUGACAAGAAACAGGACUGACGGACUGACGGACGGACUGACGGACGGACGGACGGGUCAAAAACAUUAUACCCUCCGCAACUUCGUUGCGUGGGGUAUAAUAAGCAACAAUG